AGAGUUUGAUUAUGGCUCAGGAUGAACGCUAGCUACAGGCUUAACACAUGCAAGUCGAGGGGAAACGAUAUUGGAAGCUUGCUUCCGAUAGGCGUCGACCGGCGCACGGGUGAGUAACGCGUAUCCAACCUGCCCACCACUUGGGGAUAACCUUGCGAAAGUAAGACUAAUACCCAAUGAUAUCUCUAGAAGACAUCUGAAAGAGAUUAAAGAUUUAUCGGUGAUGGAUGGGGAUGCGUCUGAUUAGCUUGUUGGCGGGGUAACGGCCCACCAAGGCAACGAUCAGUAGGGGUUCUGAGAGGAAGGUCCCCCACAUUGGAACUGAGACACGGUCCAA
rnacentral:rRNA from 1 species